ACAUUUUGAUGAUACAGUGCUACAUAGCCUAAGUCUUAGCACACAGUUCAGAAAAGUGGUAACACAAAAGUACACUCUGUCUAUAGUGCAAGGAGAUAAUUGUGUGCAAAUAGUUGGCCACAUUGCUAUUUUAAGAAAUAUCAUUAAGGUAGAUGAGGUAGGGAUUUUUGUCCUAUUUCAAAAGUUUAAUCAAGAAUCAUUCUUCUCCGACCCGUUUGAGUCAACCAGCAUAGGUUGUUAUAAAGAGUUGCAUGACAAUCUUGAUGUGGCCAGACUCCAAGAUAUUAAGCUGAAAUAUUUCCUCUGUCCUGACAAAAAUGUCUUCAUUGCCAUGCCACUCAUUCAUAUGACAUAAUGAAUUGUUUGUAGAUUACAACAUGCUUUAUCUCUUGUAAGAGAAGCUUGUACUUAACAUAAUGAGUUCCUGCUUGUUCUUUUUUUUUUCUCUCUAUAUCUCCAAGGGAAAGUUUACAUUUGCGUUCUUGUAUUGUAGGGGAGUUAUUUUGUUAAAAAAAUGAAGCAGUGGUGCAUCGUUCAAUUGCAAAAUGGUGGCACAGAAAUUGUGCCACACAGCUGGCUGAUUGGAAAGAAGCUUCUAUGGCCACCAUAUCCACCCAAAGACACAGCCAAGGUACGGGCUGCAGUUAAAAAAAUAUGAACUGCCUUCUGAGGAAUGGUUGUCCUAUGAACUUGUUAGACACCUUGUAAGUCAAGCCACAGAUGAAGAAGCUGAGAAGAGUUUGAAAAGAUACCUACAGGAGAACUGCAACACAACUGACAUUCAGUCUGAUGAAGAAACUGAAAAGUUUGAAAAAAGAAUAUCCAGAUCCAAUCCCGUUUACAACUGAUACAGAAGACGAAGUUAAAAAAAAGAAAGCUCUGCCCAGCUCCUAGACUUCUAUUUUUAGUCUCCAACAAAAUGCAGGCUCCUGUUCAAUCAGCUUUCAGAGUCAAGACCUCUGUCCAGUCUUCUAUCAAAAUUCUGCCUAACUAUCCUUUGGAGUCCUCUGACCAGAUGUGCAGCAGUUCUCCAUACUUGACUGAGUCAGGCGACUCAUCAGCCCUGCCCGCCAUGUACCCCAGCCAGGAACCAUCUUACAAGGAU